rnacentral:rRNA from 1 species
CCCGCACAAGCGGUGGAUGAUGUGGAUAAUUCGAUGCAACGCGAAGAACCUUACCUACCCUUGACAUGUCCGGAACUUGCCAGAGAUGGCUUGGUGCCCGAAAGGGAAUCGGAACACAGGUGCUGCAUGGCUGUCGUCAGCUCGUGUCGUGAGAUGUUGGGUUAAGUCCCGCAACGAGCGCAACCCUUAUCAUUAGUUGCUACGCAAGGGCACUCUAAUGAGACUGCCGGUGACAAACCGGAGGAAGGUGGGGAUGACGUCAAGUCCUCAUGGCCCUUAUGGGUAGGGCUUCACACGUCAUACAAUGGUCGGUACAGAGGGUUGCCAACCCGCGAGGGGGAGCCAAUCCCAGAAAACCGAUCGUAGUCCGGAUUGCAGUCUGCAACUCGACUGCAUGAAGUCGGAAUCGCUAGUAAUCGCGGAUCAGCAUGUCGCGGUGAAUACGUUCCCGGGCCUU